GAAAAAGUAUGAGAAUUCAAAUUAGAUAUUGAGGAUUCGAAUGGACACAAAAGAUUUGCAAAAAACAUAAAUGAAAAAAAUGAAUCGAUUCAAAAAUAUCUAUCUAUACCGUAAGCUAGGGUUGACUAUAGCAUAGGCUAGUAGUGUCCGAUUUGAUUUUAAAAAGUAAGAAAAUUCAAAUUAGAGAUUAGGACUUUGAAGUGACACAAAAC
rnacentral:lncRNA from 1 species